GGCUCGCUGGUCUAGGGGUAUGAUUCUCAUUUUGGGUGCGAGAGGUCUCGGGUUCAAAUCCCGGACGAGCCC
rnacentral:tRNA from 1 species